rnacentral:lncRNA from 1 species
UAGAAAAUCAAAAUUUGAAGUUUCCAUUACCAUAGCAAGCAUUUGUGUAUUUGCUCUCCUGUUACUUGGGGCUGUCUUUGCCUACCGAUUCCAUCGGGUGCAUAAACCGAAAAGUGAUAUAUUUGUUGAUGUUGCAGGUAAUUUUUCUUCGAAUUAUAUAUUAUUUUAAUUUUUUUGAGUACACAACGUAAUAUAUAUAAAGAUUGCUGGGAGAGGUAUUGGCUCUUCACGUGUU